rnacentral:rRNA from 1 species
UCAGCACGGCCCUUAUGUCCAGGGCUACGACACGUGUUACAAUGGCCAGUACAAAGGGCAGCUACCGGGUGACCGGAUGGCUAAUCUCUAAAGCUGGUCUCAGUUCGGAUCGAAGUCUGCAACCCGACUUCGUGAAGCUGGAUUCGCUAGUAAUCGCGCAUCAGCCAUGGCGCGGUGAAUACGUUCCCGGGCCUU